AAAUUUCUGGAGGAAAGGAGAGAAAAUAUCUUAGAGAGAAAAAUCAAUUUUUGACCAAAAUCCGAGCCCCGAAUUCCGAAGCCCAUGAAGAGAAAAGUGUUGUACGUCGCGUUGUCUUCAAUUUGAGCUAAAAAUCAACCAAAGAGGAGAGUUAUGACGUGGUGGCUGCCUACUUAAGAUUUUGGACGAAACGGGAUUUGAAUUUGGAGAGGCGUAAGGAGCGAAUAAGGUACACCCAGAUGAUGCGAAGUUAUUAUAGAGGAUGUUCCAGCAGAAUUGGCAAGCUCUUUUUGCUCCUGGAGUGCUGCCGAGUCAGAGUGUAUGCCAUGUUUUCUGAUUAUUUGUUAGAGACUUUGCAGACAGAGUCGUGGGUAUAGUAUGUCAGUUGUGUAUGCGGCUUCAUCAGCCGAUAUGUCGUUCUGUACUAUGUGUUAAAUUCUGUAUGAUCAUAGAUCCUGUUUGAUUUGGAAAACAUCGGACAAGAAUAUUUUGAGAGUUUAUCGUGUAUUUUAUUUUUAUUUGAUUUAGAAAGUCUAUUAGGAUUAUGUGUGUUCUAAAGGUCUGUGGGUUCGCUCGGCUUCGGAUGUGGGGCCGGGUGCCCAUCACACUCUAGCGGAAUUAGGGUGUGACA